ensembl:misc_RNA Metazoa_SRP Metazoan signal recognition particle RNA
GCCGGGUGUGGUGGUGCACGCCUGUAGUCCCAGUGACUUGGGAGGCUGAGGCGGGAGAAUCACUUGAACCUGGGAGGCAGAGGUUGCAGUGAGCCAAGAUGGCACCACUGCAUUCCAGCCUGGGUGACAGAGUGAGAACCUGUCUCUU